rnacentral:rRNA from 1 species
AGCUCCAAUAGCGUAUAUUAAAGUUGUUGCAGUUAAAAAGCUCGUAGUCUAAACCUUGGCUGGCAUUGAGGUGUCUGUGGCGUCAUGUCACGACGCAAACUGCCUGGCCAUGUACUUCGGAGGAACAUGCAUGCUUUUAAUUAAGUUUGUAUGGGAUUCCGAUAGUUUACUUUGAGAAAAAUAGAGUGUUCAAAGCAGGCGUUUGCCUUGAAUACGUUAGCAUGGGAUAAUGAAAUAGGACAUUGGUUCUAUUUUGGUGGUUUACGGACCGAUGUAAUGAUUAAUAGGGACAGUUGGGGACAUUCAUAUUCCAUGGCUAGAGGUGAAAUUCUUGGAUUCAUGGAAGAUGAACUACUGCGAAAGCAUUUGUCAAAGAUGUUUUCAUUGAUCAAGAACGAAA